UACGAAGGGGGCUAGCGUUGCUCGGAAUCACUGGGCGUAAAGCGCACGUAGGCGGAUUCUUAAGUCGGGGGUGAAAUCCUGGAGCUCAACUCCAGAACUGCCUUCGAUACUGGGAAUCUCGAGUCCGGGAGAGGUGAGUGGAACUCCGAGUGUAGAGGUGAAAUUCGUAGAUAUUCGGAAGAACACCAGUGGCGAAGGCGGCUCACUGGCCCGGUACUGACGCUGAGGUGCGAAAGCGUGGGGAGCAAACAGG
rnacentral:rRNA from 1 species